GAGUGAACACAGAUCUUUUAGAAUUUUUCUAUCAGGAUUUCUGACUUUUGUUAGAAAAUCCAAG